rnacentral:rRNA from 1 species
GACGAAGGAUGCAAGCGUUAUCCGGAUUCAUUGGGUUUAAAGGGAGCGUAGGUGGUUUAUUAAGUCAGUGGUGAAAGCCGGUCGCUUAACGAUCGAAUUGCCAUUGAUACUGGUAAACUUGAGUACAGAUGCUGUGGGCGGAAUAUGACAUGUAGUGGUGAAAUACAUAGAGAUGUCAUAGAACACCGAUUGCGAAGGCAGCUUACUACGGGAAUAUUGACACUGAGGCACGAAAGCGUGGGGAUCAAACAGG